rnacentral:lncRNA from 1 species
GUUCUUUUUUUUUAUAGAUAUAUAUUUUAUUUUUAUUCAAGGUCAAAAUGAAUCUGUAUGGUUGUAGAAAACAACUUCUCUCAUGCAUCUGGUUCGGUUCUCUUUUUGUCGUAAUUUGUUUAUUUUGUCCCAAUUGUUUGAUGAAAAUAUAGAAUGUAUCAGAUUCAGAGAUCAGUUGUGGGUUGUGAUAUUUAAGUCGUGUUUAUGACAUUUCUAAACCAAGAGUAUUUCCUCUGCUUUCUAAUAUCAUUUCUUUCUAUAUUUACAUCUAUCUUCACUCUCUCUAGAUGUUCAAUUCAUACUAUCUAGUAACAAUGGAUUGAGAACGGAAACGGUCCAGAAAGCUUAGAUUUCACUCAAACUUUCACUACCAAAAAAAAGGCAGGAAAGAAAUAAAAAAAAAUUGAAUCACCAAAGAAAAAACAAAGAAACUAGGGCAAAAAUUUACUCACCAAAGAAAAACAAAAAUCAAGAAACUAAGACUCCAAGCAUGAAAGUUUCACUUGAUCCUUAAAAACCAAGGUGGAAGCAAGCGAAAGAAAUUGAGAUAGUCUCCCUCUACAGAGAGAACAAAUGUAAAUAAGUUGAAAAAAAAGACUUCCAAACUCUAUUCUCUCUCUUUAGAGAGAACAAAUGUAAUGAGUUGAAAAAAAAAGACUUCCAAACUCUAUUCUCUCUCUCUCUAAGAAAGCAAACAAAACGAAGAUAAUAGCAAACCUUAAAAAGUACCUUGGGACACUGAUAUUCUCUCUUCUUUUUUUUCUCUCUAAGUUGAGGACAUUGCACAAAAGUCUGCACAAUUCGUCACCCAAAAAAAACGAAAUAGGAGAAGACCUAUUGUGUGCGCUAAUCUUUUAAUGAUAAAAAUCAGCAAAUAAGAAACUAAGAAACCCAAAUCCAACGGCCAAUCUCCUCUCUCUCUAGUAUUCGUAUGAAAUAGAUUCUCUCGUCACAAGCUUUCUUGAUUCCACGUGUUACAUAUGAUUUUCAAUUAAUAUCAAGAUUUUCUUAGAAAAUCAAAAUCAAGAAGAUAAAGGAAGUUUCAAGAAAAUCAAGAAGAUAAAUCAGUUCCAUUGCAAAAUUAGUGUUGUUUACAUAUGAUUUUCAAUUAAUAGCAAGCAUUUCUUAGAAAUUCAAAAUUAAGAAGAUAAGGAAGUUUCAAGAAAAUCAAGAAGACGAAUGAGUUCCAAUGCAAAUUAAUUUUGUACUGGCGCUAUUUUUUAAGAAAAUCAUGAAAUUAAUGCUAGGUCUCAUGUUAAUAAAUAAAUGAAAAUCACUAAAUUAUUCACCAAAUUAAAAACCAAGAAAAUAAAAAACUUAUUCACCAAAACACGAACCCAAAGCACAAACCAAAACAAUCAAGAUAUUAUUUAUCAAAAUAAAAAAAAAUAAAAAAAUUAUUCACCAAAACAAAAACCAAUAAAUUAAUAUUGCUAUUAUGUGAAUGUGAACGCACAAAAACCAAUAUGGAGGCAGUUAAAAGAAAUCAGUUAUUCGUCAUGAGAACGAUAACUCACAAGAAAAGAGCUCGUUUUUUUUUUUUUGGAUAGAGUACUGAUGAGAGUGGAGGGUAGGACUUUAUGUCGAUGCAUAAGAGAAAAGAAACCCAAAAAAGAAAAGAACACAAAGAAAAUCAAAAAAGAAAGAAAAAACAUAGAGAAGAGAAAGAAUGAAAAUUAUAAAACAAUAGAAACAGAAAAUUUUAAUUUUUUGUAUUAUUUCAUGGUAGAUCCUCAUUUCGUAUCUCUUUCAAGCAGCAAAAAACAAACCCAAGAAAAG